GGAGGGGAUUGCGUCUGAUUAGCUAGUUGGAGGGGUAACGGCCCACCAAGGCGAUGAUCAGUAGCCGGUCUGAGAGGAUGAACGGCCACAUUGGGACUGAGACACGGCCCAGACUCCUACGGGAGGCAGCAGUGGGGAAUCUUCCACAAUGGGCGAAAGCCUGAUGGAGCAACGCCGCGUGAAGGAUGAAGGCCUUCGGGUUGUAAACUUCUUUUAUGAGUGAAGAAUAUGACGGUAACUCAUGAAUAAGCACCGGCUAACUACGUGCCAGCAGCCGCGGUCAUACGUAGGGUGCAAGCAUUAUCCGGAGUGACUGGGCGUAAAGAGUUGCGUAGGCGGUUUAAUAAGUGAAUAGUGAAACCUGGUGGCUCAACCAUACAGACUAUUAUUCAAACUGUUAAACUCGAGAAUGGUAGAGGUAACUGGAAUUUCUAGUGUAGGAGUGAAAUCCGUAGAUAUUAGAAGGAACACCGAUGGCGUAGGCAGGUUACUGGGCCAUUUCUGACGCUAAGGCACGAAAGCGUGGGGAGCGAACCGGAUUAGAUACCCGGGUAGUCCACGCCGUAAACGAUGGAUACUAGCUGUUGGAGGUAUCGACCCCUUCAGUAGCGAAGCUAACGCGUUAAGUAUCCCGCCUGUGGAGUACGGCCGCAAGGCUAAAACAUAAAGGAAAUUGACGGGGACCCGCACAAGCGGUGGAUUAUGUUCUUUAAUUCGAUGAUAACCGAAGAAACCUUACCAGGGCUUGACAUCCAGGGAAGGUCUGCGAAAGUAGACUGUGCCUUUUGGAACCCUGUGACAGGUGAUGCAUGGCCGUCGUCAGCUCGUGUCGUGAGAUGUUAGGUUAAGUCCUUCAACGAGCGCGAACCCUUGUGAAUAGUUGUAUUUUUCUAUUCAGACUGCCCCGGUAACGGGGAGGGAGGAGGGGAUGAUGUCGGGUCAGUAUUUCCCUUACGUCCUGGGCUAGAACGUGAAUACGAAUGGCUAGUACGAUGCGCGGCGAGGCCGCGAGGUGAGCGAAUCGCGUUCGAAGCGUAGUUCCCGGUUUCGGUAUUGUGAGGCUGGGACUCGCCUGCGUGUAGUUCGGAGUCGCGGUGAUUCGCGGAUUCGGCGGGGUUGCGGUGGAUGCGUUUCCCGG
rnacentral:rRNA from 1 species